rnacentral:lncRNA from 1 species
CAAACCCCUAUCUAGUUAGUGUGCUUCUUAGAAUACAAAUAGAAUUACAAAAUGUUUCAGUAAUCAAAAAGGGACAGCAUCGGCAAACAGUUGACAUCAAAAUUGUCUGCUCAUCAAAGAGGAAUGACAGAUCCUCCUUCAUCAACAUGUUUUCCUUAGGAAUGGUGCCAGGAUGCAGGGCAUAAGUGAGAGGACAGUUCCCUUGGUUAUGAGGUAACUAAAAAUAGCCACCUUUGAAAGCCAUCAGAGGUCACUUGUUUUGAAGAAAAUCAUCAGAAGAACUUUGAACUAUAAGAUAUUGACUAUUAAAUCAUGUUAUUUUCUUCAUUUGUCAAAGUUAUUGGGAUGUAGCAAAUACUUGAGACUUUGAAUUGAGUAGAUUUUGAGUAGAUUUAUGAAUGAAAUCAAAGGACACACAAAAACAGUGUAAUUCACCCAUCUGGAGACUCCACGUAUGAGUUUGAAAACUUUUAGUAUGUAUGCCAAUUAGUCCAUCCAGCCAAAUAGGCACAACAAUUUUCCGAUAAUAAGAAAAAUAAGACCAAGAAGCUAGCUGGAAUACUAAGAAAAACAACAGAGGGAGUUAAAUUCUUCAUUAAAAUUGACCACUUCUAGAGGCCUUGCAGGAAAUAUUAAAAUAAGUUCUUCAAUGAGAAUGAAAAUGAUAUAGGUCAGAAACUUGGAUCUGCAUGAAGAUACACCUUAAAAAAGGAAGAGCAUCAGAAAAAUGAAUAAGUGAAGGUCAAGUGCUGUGCUGUACUGAUUGAUAGAUUGUCUCCAGCAGGAAGUUUGACAAUGGACAACCUAGAAGCAGAUGUGCCUGAUAAAUGUAAAUGGUAGCUUCUUUGUGGCCCUUCCACCAGAAGUGAAGAAGCCUGGUGCAGAGCUUCUACUUGACCUAUGAUAGAUAUGCUGCUGGAGAAGAAAUCAACCUCCUGCCUGAGGACCUCAACAGAUGCACCUGCCCAAUCUUAAACUUUCCAGCAAUCUGAAUUGUGAGCCAAAUAAUUUUUUUAUAAAUUAUCCAGCUUCAAGUAUUAUACCAACAAAAAAAAGGAAAUGCAAUGAGUCAAUAUACUUACUGAGAUUGCAGAAGAGACUGAACACUGCGCUAGGCUCUGAAGAGAAAGAUGAAAAAGAAGAAAGUGCUCCUGAGUAUAUGACUACUUGUACUUGCUAGCACUGAGGCAAGUACAAACUCUAGGCAUCAGGCUUUUGGUCUCACUCUUAGCGAAUUUGAACACUGGCUUUUUUGUUGGGCUUCCAUUCUUCUCUCAGCGCAAGAAUACCAACGUUUAUGACCCAGGAAGCACCAACUUAUACUUCACAGAGCUAAGAAACAGCAUUUCGCCAUGUCACGCAGGCUGGUCUUCAACUCCUGGACUCAAGCUAUCCACGGGCCUCGGCCUCCCAAAGUGCUAGGAUUACAGGCAUGAGCCACUAUGUCCGGCUUGGAGUUUUUAGUCUCAUCAAACCAACUCACCCAAAUGUCCCUUGGUGACAAAAAGUUUUCUGAAAGAUUAAGUAAUCUUUGUUUCCCAAGCCUGACAAAAUAAAAAGUUUUCUGUCUCUCU